rnacentral:rRNA from 1 species
AACGAACGCUGGCGGCAUGCCUAACACAUGCAAGUCGAACGAGACCUUCGGGUCUAGUGGCGCACGGGUGCGUAACGCGUGGGAACCUGCCCUUAGGUUCGGAAUAACUCCCCGAAAGGGGUGCUAAUACCGGAUAAUGUCUUCGGACCAAAGAUUUAUCGCCUUUGGAUGGGCCCGCGUUGGAUUAGCUAGUUGGUAGGGUAAAAGCCUACCACGGCGACGAUCCAUAGCUGGUCUGAGAGGAUGAUCAGCCACACUGGGACUGAGACACGGCCCAGACUCCUACGGGAGGCAGCAGUGGGGAAUAUUGGACAAUGGGCGAAGGCCUGAUCCAGCAAUGCCGCGUGAGUGAUGAAGGCCUGAGAGUUGUAAAGCUCUUUUACCCGGGAUGAUAAUGACAGUACCGGGAGAAUAAGCUCCGGCUAACUCCGUG